rnacentral:rRNA from 1 species
AACGAACGCUGGCGGCAGGCUUAACACAUGCAAGUCGAGCGCCUCGCAAGAGGAGCGGCAGACGGGUGAGUAACGCGUGGGAACGUACCCUUAUCUUCGGAAUAGCUCUGGGAAACUGGAAGUAAUACCGAAUGUGCCCUUAGGGGGAAAGAUUUAUCGGAUAAGGAUCGGCCCGCGUUGGAUUGGCUAGUUGGUGGGGUAAAGGCCUACCAAGGCGACGAUCCAUAGCUGGUCUGAGAGGAUGAUCAGCCACAUUGGGACUGAGACACGGCCCAAACUCCUACGGGAGGCAGCAGUGGGGAAUAUUGGACAAUGGGCGCAAGCCUGAUCCAGCCAUGCCGCGUGAGUGAUGAAGGCCUUAGGGUUGUAAAGCUCUUUCACCGGAGAAGAUAAUGACGGUAUCCGGAGAAGAAGCCCCGGCUAACUUCGUG